GCUCAGAUUGAACGCUGGCGGCAGGCCUAACACAUGCAAGUCGAACGGUAACAGGAAGCAGCUUGCUGCUUUGCUGACGAGUGGCGGACGGGUGAGUAAUGUCUGGGAAACUGCCUGAUGGAGGGGGAUAACUACUGGAAACGGUAGCUAAUACCGCAUAACGUCGCAAGACCAAAGAGGGGGACCUCCGGGCCUCUUGCCAUCGGAUGUGCCCAGAUGGGAUUAGCUAGUAGGUGGGGUAAAGGCUCACCUAGGCGACGAUCCCUAGCUGGUCUGAGAGGAUGACCAGCCACACUGGAACUGAGACACGGUCCAGACUCCUACGGGAGGCAGCAGUA
rnacentral:rRNA from 1 species